rnacentral:rRNA from 1 species
UACGUAGGGUGCGAGCGUUAAUCGGAAUUACUGGGCGUAAAGCGUGCGCAGGCGGUUUUGUAAGUCAGAUGUGAAAUCCCCGGGCUCAACCUGGGAAUGGCAUUUGGGACUGCAAGGCUGGAGUGCGGCAGAGGAGACUGGAAUUCCCGGUGUAGCAGUGAAAUGCGUAGAUAUCGGGAGGAAUACCGAUGGCGAAGGCAGGUCUCUGGGCUGACACUGACGCUCAUGCACGAAAGCGUGGGGAGCAAACAGG